rnacentral:rRNA from 1 species
UUUACUGUCUCUUACUUCCAAUCCGUGAAAUUGACCUUCCCGUGAAGAGGCGGGAAUACAACAAUAAGACGAGAAGACCCUAUGGAGCUUUAAUUAACCGACCCAAAGAGACCCAUUAAUUUAACCGACAGGAACAACAAACCUCUGUAUGGGCCGACAAUUUAGGUUGGGGUGACCUCGGAGAACAGAACAACCUCCGAGUGAUUUAAAUCAAGACUAACCAGUCGAAAGUAUUACAUCACUUAUUGAUCCAAAAGUUUGAUCAACGGAACAAGUUACCCUAGGGAUAACAGCGCAAUCCUAUUUCAGAGUCCAUAUCGACAAUAGGGUUU